UGCAGAAACAGAUUUUGAUCGAAACACUUUCACUAAAAUCUUCCAGUGGUGUUUAUUUUCUCUGAUAGCCAAGAGAAGGACUUUUGAGUAAAGGAUGACCAACAAGUGGCCUUGAGGGAGUUAUUAAGACUUAGUGCUCUUUAUCCUGUUGAAGCUCUAAAUGAAUCCAUGCCAGUAACUAUAUGCCUGAGUAUGCCUGCAUGUGUCCUUAAAAAAGUUAUAUCCAUGCAAGGUGAUGUAAGACAACAGUGGGAUGAAUGUUAUUGCUCAUGUGUCAUGUGUCCCUAUCUGUCUUGAUAAAUGACACUCAUGUUUCCAGUGUACUUUCUAGGUGGUGUUGACGUGGAUGGAAGUCCAAUGGCUGUAAGGAACUAUCUUUGUCUUGGGAAGUCCCAGAGGAUACCAGGGAGCCCAGGACACAAGCCAUGUGCAUCCCAUUAGAUGCUUGUUGAUCCUUUAUCAAGUGGCAUUUCCAUGGAUAAAAGGCUAAUAGCUGCACAGAAACAUCUUUGUCAUGUGAGAUCCCAGAGGAUGCCAGGGAGCCCCAGGAUACGUGCAGGCAUCCAAUUAGAUGCUGGUUGAUCCUUCAUCAAGGUGGUGUUGCCAUGAAAUGAUGGCCAGUAGGGCAAAGAGCCAUCUUUGUCUUGAUGCCAGGGAGCCCUAGGACACGUGGUUUGCAUCUCAUUAGAUGCUGGUCGAUCCUUCAUGAAAGUGGCGUUCAUGGAUUACAGGCCAGUGGCCACAAGUUAUUAUCUUUGUCUUAUGAGGUUUCAGAAGAUGUCAAGGAGUCCCAUGAUACAUGCAAUGUGCAUCCCACUGGAUCCUGGUUGAUUCUUCAUCAAAGGAACCAGAUGGUACAUGGAUUGAUGAUAACUUCCAUAUAUGCAUUCCUUGGAAAGCUGAACAAAAUGAGUGAAAACUAUACCAUCAUUCUCAGCAAACUGAGGUCUAGCACAUGUCUCCAACAGGAAUUAGAGAGGAAUGUGAUGCUGUGUCCGUGUGCUUGGGCAGUUCCUUGACGUGGUUUCUAGAAGGCUUCUGUUCCAGACAAUCAAUGGGAUCUUUGUCUCCAUUAGGCAUCCGAGCUGAUUUUGGGAUGCAGGUUGUGCAUGGAUCGAUGAUGACUUCCAUAUAUGCAUUCCUUGGAAAGCUGAACAAAAUGAGUGAAAACUCUAUACCAUCAUCCUCAUUGAACUAA